rnacentral:lncRNA from 1 species
UUAAAGUUAAGAAAAAAAUAACACUUCUAAUGAAAAACUGGAUAGUCACUUUGUUAAUAGAAAAACAUCGCUUCUCUAACAAGCACUUCUUGCAAAGGAGAGUUACGUCCCACACCAAACUUAUGGAUUCUUCUCUUCAUCCUUUUCCUGGUACUUUCUUUCCUACACCUUCUUCCUUAUCCUUUUCAUCGCCCCCUUUGCUAGGUAAACCUUUUGGUUUAUUGUUUGAUUUCCUUGUUUCACUUCUUUCUAUUAUCCUCGUAUGUAAAUUUUGAUCAUUUCAAAGUCUUGAUUUCUAUAUAUUAACUUGUAAGAGCACACAUACAACUUGAUUCACACCUAUCUUUUUUCCUAUCUCUUAUUUAUGUGUGCUAUAAUUUUAGUGAUCUUUUAGAAGUUCUCUAAUUUUAUCCUUCUGUGUUUUACUAGAGGAAGACUUUACAUGGUAUAGAAAUUAUGGUUUGCACCACUAAGUGGCUAUGUUAGAAUUGAAGGAGUUUCAAUGGAAGAAGGUCGUAAACAUCAUUAAUGGAACAUUCAGAGCUUUAGAGAGAUUGAAAUGAGAAAUCAAAACUUAAUUUCACUUAUGUAUGAGCAAUCUAUAUAUACAAGUAAAGAAGAUGAAACCAACUGUCUACAACUUGCACCAUGGAUAAUUGACUUCCUAGUCAGCAUAACUACUUUAAAAAACUACUGUAACAACAAUAAAGAAAUCCGCUUGUUGUACAGGUAACAAGGCUAACACCAAACUAUACUAACUAAACUAAUAGCAUAAUUAAUCUUGAUAAUAUUCAUACCCCUCUCUCAAGCUGAAAGUGGGAAUGUACUAACAACUUGCCAAGAAUAAAAUGAUAUUUAGGAUCAAAGAGGGAAUUAGUAAGUAUACCAGCUAGUUGAUCAGUAGAUGAAACAUGUUGAAGUUGAAUGGGUUCUUUAUGUAGCAUUUUCCUAACAAAAUGACAGUCAACAUCCAUGUGCUUGGUUCAUUCAUGGAGCAUAGGGUUCUUGGCUAUAUGUAUGGCUUCUUGGAUGUUACAAAAGAGUGCUAUAGGUUUUGAAGUAGGAGUUAUCAAUUAUGUGAGAAUCUUAUCUAUCCAAACUAGUUCUCCUACCACCUUUCUAAUGGCUCUGCACUCUACCUCAGCUAAUGACAGGGAUAUGGUUGAUUGUUUCUUAAACCUCCAGUUGAUAAGAGUGUAACCUAAAACCACAGUGUACCCACUCACUGACCUCCUUGAAUUAGGCAGGUAGCCCAAUUAGAAUCAAAAUGAGCAGUGACAACACAAUUAAGAUCACUAGAUAAGAAAAGACUGAAGAAUGGUCAAAUUUGAGAUACCUCAACACAUGUAAUGUAGCUCUUUAAUAAGGUUCUCUGGAAUCCUACAUAAAUUGGAUUAAAUGCUGCACACUAUAAGCAAUAUCUAGCCUUCUAUUGCUAAGGAAAUUAAGUUUCCCAACUAGUUUUUUGAAAGAAGUUGGAUAUGAUAGAAGCUUCCCAUCUAUAAUAUCUAAUUUUUAUGUAGGAUCAAGUAGAGUGAGACUAUAGGGUAGUCCAGUAAAUCAAACUCUUUUAGCAGAUUAUUUGUGAACUUUCUCUAUGACACCAGAAUCCAAUUGUUAGUAUAAUGAAUUUCUAAUCCUAAGAAGUAAUAUAGUUUACCUAAGUCUUUGAUUUUUUAAUUGGUGAUGGAGAAAAUCUUUUAGUUGUUGAAUUUAUUUUAGAUUAGUACCAAUAAGGAUUAUAUCAUCAAUAUACAAGGCAACAAAAACCAAAGACUUGUUCUUCUUGUAAAAUAGAGAGUAAUCACUAGCUGAGUAGGUGAACCCCUUAGCAGACAAAGACUUAGUCAACUUAUCAUAACAUUGUCUGCUUGAUUGCUUCAAGCAAUAGAGUGACCUUCUUAACUUGCAAACUAGCCCUUGAUGAGCUGUAACUAAACUAGGUGGGACUUUCAUAUACACUACCUCUUUGAGGUCACCAUGCAAUAAAGAAUUAUUGAUAUCUAACUAGAACAAAGUCUAGUUUCUUUUUACUACUAAACUGAGUAAAACUCUGAUAGUAGUCAUCUUAACUAUAGGUUAAAAAGUCUUGAUGAGUGAAACCUUUAACUACAAGUCAAUAUUUGUACCUUUAUAUACUUUCAUCAACUUUGUGUUUAAUCUUAUAUAUCAAUCUACAACCUAUAGCCUUUUUGUUAGAAGGUAGUGGUACAAGAUCCCAAGUAUGAUUUGCAUGCAUCACUUCAAAAUCUUAUGUCGUUGUAAUUUGCUAAGAAGGAUGUAAUUCUUUCUAUCUAUAAGAAGAGGCUCACAAUUAAUUAAAAUAUUUCUCACCACAUACUGAUUAUCCUGAUUAAGGAAUGAUGAGGAAGCAUGACUAGAUUUGGUAGUAGUUGGAGAUAAAGUAGGUAGAAAUAAGGUUGGAGCUGAGGUAGAGUGCAUAUUAGGCAAUUUAUAGGCAUAUUCUUUCAAGUAUGUAGGAUGAAUGUAUGGUCUAUAUGAUCUUCUAAGGGCAGGUAGUGAUUCUGGUUUAAUGGAGAUGAGAGUAUCUGAAGUAGAACAAGGUGGAUUAGUUGUUGUUUGUUGAUUAGUAGGUGUUUGUUGAUAGGAUCCAGACAUUAGUGAAUCCUCAUUAGUGGAUACAAAAAAAUGGACAACAUGAUCAAUAGUGUUUAUGGUAUACAUCUGAGAUGAGUUAGUAUGGUGUGUCAAAGUGUUCAAGUCAUGCACAUUAUCAAAAUAAGAGUUGACUAAAUGCAAAAUGGAAGGAAAAGAAGAAUUAUUAGGUGACAUCUAGAAAGGAAAAAUAUGCUCAUAAAAUAACACAUCUCUUGAUAGAUGUAAUCUUUUGGUUUGUAAGUCUAAGACUUUGUAUCCCUUUAUACCAAAAUGAUAUCUCAGGAAAAUAUGUGGUGUAACCCUUGGUUUAAAUUUGGUCAUAUGUGUUCUUAAGCUUCUGAGGAAGCAAAGGCAUCCAAAGACCUUAAGGUGAUAGUAAGUAGGUUUAUUUUGAUAGAGUUACUCAUAAAGACAUCUAUUUUUCAGAAAAGUAAUGGGUAGUCUAUUUAUCAGAUAGGUUGUACUCAAGAGACACUCCUCUAGUAUGUAAGAGGUAAUUUGAAUUGAUAUAAUAGUGCUCUUGUUGUUUCAAGCAAGUACUUAUGUUUUAUUUCCACAACACUAUUUUGUCAUGGUAUAAAGGGAUAGGUUGUUUGGUGAAUAAUACCUUUGUAUUGUAAAAAUUAUGUUUUUCAGCAUUGUCAAAUUCCAAACUAUUAUCAGUUCUUAUGGUUGUAAUAGCAGUAGAAAAUUGAUUCUCUAUAAGGGAAACAAAAUAUUUGAGAACUUAAAAGAGUAUUGCUUUUGUUGCUGAUUAAAUGAGUCCAGGUUGAUCUAGUAUAGUCAUUAACCACGGUAACAAAAUACUUAUAAUUGUCAUGAUUGCUGAUGUGGUAUGGACCCCAUAGGUCAAUAUGUAAUAGUUCCAAAAUUUUGGACGUGCUGGUUGUUUUCUAUGGAAAAGGCAAUCUAGAUUUUCGUUCCAUGGAGCAACUGUUGUAAACAAAGGGUUGUUGAGCUGCUAAUGAAGGUAAGGAUGGGAUAGUUUUCAUAUUGGUAAAAGGUAUAUGCCCCAACUUCAAAUGCCACAAAAGAUCAUCAUUGUAAUUAUGAUAUGCAGAGAGUAACUAGGAUUCUAGGUUAGAACAAGUUCUUUUAUUGAUGGAAUAUGGUAUAUUUACAAUAUCUAAAGAAAAAUGAGAUGAAGCAAAUGGAACUUGCUUAUUACAAUCAAUAACACUAGAUGAAGAAUCAGACAAACUGGAUGUAAAAAGUGACACAUUGCAGGAAUUAUGAGAAGAUAAAGAUUUUGAACUUGAACAUUUGUUGUAACAUCUUGAUAAAAGGUAAUACAAACCAUAUCUAGCCCCACCAAUCUCUAGAGUCCUCAUAAGUGAAGGGGCCUGAAAGGCGCAUGAAGAACUACUAAAGCUAACAAUACUAUAUAACUGUAUGAUCAAAUAGUGAAUUAAAAUGAUAUUGAACUUAACACUAGGUACAUAAAACACUACGUGUAAAUUCAAAGCUAGAUUGAGAGAUACAUUACCAAUUUUUGUAACAUUGACUCGAUACCUAUUUGGUAAGGUUAUAACAAAAGGAUAAGGUAGAAUUCUAGUAUUGGUUAAUAGUUCUCUAUUGUAAGUUAUGUGGUGGGAUGCUCCGGAGUCUAGAAUGUAAGAUUUAGUAGACAAAAUAUCACAAUUACAAGUUUGUGUACCAAUCUUAGUUAUUGAAGAGUGGCAAGCAAUGAUACCUGCAAAGUUUACUGCUUCACCAGUGACAUUGUUUAAGUUCUGUCUAACAUUCCCUGGUUGAAAAUGAUUCAGCAGGUUGAUCAACCUGUCAUAUUGAUCCUUGCUUAGAUUGUGAGAAUCUUUCCCAGUCAUUUCAUUUCCAUUGUAAUCUCUAUCAAACCACCAACAUCCUCAAGAUAACCACAUUGAACAUUAGAGACAAAAGCUGAAUUUUUUCCUUUAGUAAACUUGAAAUCCAAGGAAAUUCAUGGAAUUUGUAGCAUUUAAUCUCACAAUAACUAGUUUCCUUAUAGUAAUCAUGGAAAAUAUGAGAUUUGGGUUCAGAUAGUUUGUCUUUUACCCUCAAAAUCCAGUAGAAUUCCAAAAAUGAUAAGGUGUAUUAUAUGAAUUUGGCUUGUAAGGUGGUUUAAUGGAAUUCGACUGUCGAUUAUAGUGACUUGGUCCUUGUUUGACCUAAUAAUUGAUUUAGAAACCUACAUGUGUUGCUGCUACAUAUUUGUUUAGAAAAGUGGCGACCAAAUCAAAAUAAAGAGUGGGGGUGGCUUUUCUUCUUGAAUAAGUGUGGAAAAACAUUGAGCUAGAUUUUGUUGGUGGCUCAUCAUUAAAAUAUUACCAUGCACAAGAAUAUAUACCUUAUUGAGCCAAAAUACAAAUUGAAUCAAACAUCUAUCCUACUCUGCCUAAAGGAGAUUAGAUUUAGUACUAUAAGUGCACUGACAACCGUAGUUUGUGUAAGAGUUGAGUGUUGAGUUCCUCCUAGAUCUUCUUCAUCUUAAUAUAGUAGGUAGUGGUGUCCAAAUUUCCUAGUAUGAGAUCAUUGAUCUCUUUUUGUAAUUGGUAUAACUUGGCACCAUUUGAUUAGUCAUACCGAUCAUCUAAUUCUUACCCAGUUCCCUAGCAUCAUUCACAUACUGAAGGCUAUCUGCUAAAUCACGUGAAUGGGAGUUUAAAAUCCAUGAAGUAAUCAUAUAAUCACAUCGUUACCAUUGACUAAAGGUUGAAGAGUCCUCAGCCGGUCGUUUCAACUUUCCAUUGACAAAAUAUAUCAUGUUCUUAAUAGAGAAUGCUCGAAGCAUUGCUCGCCUCUAAGAGGGAUAACCAGUGACAUAAAAAAUAGUUGGUAGCAAGGUCAAGCCAGCAUUUUCAGAAGGAUGCAUAUACAAAGGAUCAAUAAUGAUGAUGUUUCCCUGGGUUGGUUGGUUAGGUUGUUGUCACGAUCGAAACUAUGUCCUGGCCAUGAUGGAUAUCUCAAGCCCACAUGGGCCGGAGACCAUCUCCUUAGCCUUACCUCAAGAGAACAAUAAUAAUAAUAAGCAAUGGAAAUCAACCAAGAUAGUAAUAAGAAUAAAUCAGUCAAAAGAUAGUUCUAUGAAUCUAACAAAUAACCAACCCAUAAUUAUCUGCAAAAGCCUCUAAAAUCAGAAUACCAACUAAGUUGGGACAUGCCCCCGACUAUGAAAAAAAGAAAUCCAAAGUUUUAGGAUAAUAAAUAAACUGCAAAAUGAUAGGGCCUUUAGAAGGAUGGAAGCUCGCCACUUUGCAGCAACUCAACAGACGCACCACACCAUCUAAUACUGCAUAGGAGUAACAGGAAAUCCCUCAAAACCUACAUCAUGAAAUUAUGUGGUGUCCUAGGACAGUCAGUUAGACGAGCACUAGUAUGUAACUCAUGGGAUAGGUAUAAUAUAAUGCAAUUACCAAGAUAUAUUCAUAAACCAUAUGCACCACAUUCAUAUACAUAUAUAGGAUGCUGGGAUAGGGACGUGGUCCAUGAACAUAAGAGUUUACAGAUUUAACCUAAAAUGUUUAGCUCACUCUGUUCUAAAGGCACUCAUGGUCUAGAUGGGUCCAUAUCCCCCUGCUGGAAGGGCCUCAAUGUAUGUUAGGCAUACAAAACAAGAAAAAAUAGAGCAAAUGCUAAAGACACUAAAGCUAUAUAUAUACAUAUACAUAUAUAUAUAUACAUAUACAUAUAUAUAUGUACAUACAUACAUACAUACAUAUAUAUACAUACAUACAUACAUAUAUAUACAUACAUACAUACAUAUAUAUACAUAUAUAGGAUGCUGGGAUAGGGACAUAGAGCAAAUGCUAAAGACACUAAAGCUAUAGCCCUCCC